UACGGAGGGUGCAAGCGUUAUCCGGAUUCACUGGGUUUAAAGGGUGCGUAGGCGGGUUGGUAAGUCCGUGGUGAAAUCCCCAGCUUAACUUGGGAACUGCCGUGGAUACUAUCAAUCUUGAAUAUCGUGGAGGUAAGCGGAAUAUGUCAUGUAGCGGUGAAAUGCUUAGAUAUGACAUAGAACACCAAUUGCGUAGGCAGCUUACUACACGAUCAUUGACGCUGAGGCACGAAAGCGUGGGGGAGCAAACAGG
rnacentral:rRNA from 1 species